rnacentral:rRNA from 1 species
UGGGGAAUAUUGGACAAUGGGGGCAACCCUGAUCCAGCCAUGCCGCGUGUGUGAAGAAGGCUUUCGGGUUGUAAAGCACUUUCAGUGGGGAGGAAGGCUAUAUGGUUAAUACCCAUGUAGAUUGACGUCACCCACAGAAGAAGCACCGGCUAACUCCGUGCCAGCAGCCGCGGUAAUACGGAGGGUGCAAGCGUUAAUCGGAAUUACUGGGCGUAAAGCGCGCGUAGGCGGCAAGUUAAGUUGGGUGUGAAAGCCCCGGGCUCAACCUGGGAACUGCAUCCAAAACUGGCUAGCUUGAGUACGGCAGAGGACAGUGGAAUUUCCGGUGUAGCGGUGAAAUGCGUAGAGAUCGGAAGGAACACCAGUGGCGAAGGCGACUGUCUGGGCUGAUACUGACGCUGAGGUGCGAAAGCGUGGGGAGCAAACA